GAGGGCGCGUGACAUUGACCUUUGUCCGCCCCUGGCACCGCGGGCGGCGUGUUGUCCCACCCUGGGCUUGGCAGGGGGGCGCGUGCUUGGCCAGCCCCAGGGGCUGAGAGCGGAGAACUCCCGAGCCGGCGGCCCUUCGCUCCGCGGGCACCCAGCUCUGGGCGGAUGUAACGGGCGCAAGUCGCGGUCGCCACGGCAACUGCCCGGCCUGUGGAACUCAGCCCGCCGCGCGGCUCGCAUUGUCCCGGCUCCACGGCGACGCGGGCGCGGCGGGACACGCGAGCCGCCGGGCCGGCCCGGCCUCGGCCCCCGGGCCGCCCCCUCCCGCCGCCGUGACUGAAGGACGGACCCACGGACUGGGGCUGGCGGCGCCAUGCGUGAGGAGCGGCUCACGGCCGAGCCACCAGAUAUUACAGAAGCAGGAUUUGAAGAUUCUUUGGCAACAGACAUUUUCCUUGUGGACUAUUUUAAUGAAUUCCUAAGCCUUCCAACCUUUCCAGAGGCAAUUAGAUUUAAUGUGGAUUAUGGAGUUUUUGAAGUAGUUAAUGAUGCUCCACAACUUCUGGAAAAACAACUGAAAAAAGUUCUACAAAACCAACAACCUCGAAACCCCAUCUAUGAUGUUGUGAGGAAAACAAAGCAUGAUGUCAAAUCUGUUAAAAUGCAUGUCCCCAGUAAAGAUGAGACCAUUAAUGUCAAUUACAAUAUUAUGUGUCUCAGUCGUGAACAAGGGAUUAAAUGGAUCAAAAAAGAAAGACUUCCAGCAUUUCUGGAGAGUGAUUGCUAUUUUGAAUACAGGUUAGCCAAAUUGGUCUCCCAAGUAAGAUGGAGCAAGUCAGGUGUGAGUUUCACAAUCGGCACAAAAUUUUCUCCAUGGGUCUUGAGGAAACCACCCAGUUUGCCACCUGCCUCUAUUGAAGAAGACAAUCUUAUAAUUAUGAAAAAGUUCUACAUUUCUCUUGGCGAGGCUUCUUACACUCAAACUAAAGAUUGGUUUUCACUAGCAAAACAAAAUGAGCAAGUGAUCUCCACCUUUUCCUUACCCUGUUGUGUACCCCACAAUACAGUUGAAUCACCAGUUAUUUCAUCUGUUUCUGAGAGUUUUAUCUUUGAUGAUGGAGUUCACCCCAGGACAAAAGAGAGCUCAUCUAAAGCCACUAAAUUAAUUUCUGAAUUGGAAGAAGAUGAAGAAGGGUCUACAUCUGUAAAAGACACUCCUUCACGAGCUCUUCUGAGAAUAUACCUUGAAAAGCAACAUGAUACAUUUGACAGAAGCCUGACACUGCAUUUUUCAACAUAUGAAGAAUUUUUAAAUUCCUAUGUAUUCUUUAUUCUGAGAGCAGCCAUUCAGAAAAUUAUUGGAGAGCCACUUAAAGAAAGCUCAGACUACGUAAAUUUCAACAAUGUAGGACAAGUGGUGGUUGAUGAGCCUUUUGAAUCUCUCCUGGAACCAAUUCCAAGGAACUGGUUGGGAAAGUCACAUGAGGCAUUAGAAAUGAACAGUUUAAAGAGGGACAGCUUUGGAUCUGAGAGCAAGGGUAAUUGGAAUAUUUCUCACAGAACUUACAACAUCAGCAAUAGGAAGGAGUUUGAAAAUUUUAAGAAAUUUAUGAAGGGCACCUUAGGGGAGAGGUAUUGGUGGCUAUGGAUGGAUAUUGAGCGGUUAAAAGUUCUUAAAGACCCUGGAAGACAUCAAAGACAUAUUGAGAAGAUGAAAAAAUGCUAUCUAGUGAGCAGUGGAGAGUGCUACCUUUCUACAGAAAUCUUAUCAAAACUUAAGUUGUUAGAUGGAUCUCAGUGGACUGAAGAACAUUUAAAAAAUAUUCAAUCUGAGGUCAUAAAACCUCUACUUCUGUAUUGGGCACCAAGAUUCUGUAUUACUCAUUUAUCCUCAACAAACAGUGCUAGUGCCGAAUUGAGAUUCUGGCACCUCCGACAGGAGAAACCAAGGAAGGACAUUGACCCUUUUCCACAAAUGGCCACGCUCUUGCCAUUAAGACCUAAAUCUUGUAAUCCACAGAUAUCAGAGAUCCAGAAAGAGGAAUUCAGUUCUGUGCAACAUACUAAAUCUCUCAAGAAAACAACUAGAGUCAAAACAGCAACUCAGAACCCGUGGAAGACUGAAUCUCUAUCUGUAGUUCCCCAGAGGGAUGCUGGGACUGAGAGACAGAUAAGGCGCAUGUCAGAAAGCAGCAGAGUUAUUCGUUUAACAUCUUUUACUGACAUUUCUGAAUGUCUGAAGCCCCAGCUGGACAGGAAAUAUACUUAUACAGAAGAACCUAAAGUUAAAACCAUAUCAGAUGUUGGUGCCUUGGGAGGAUUUGACAUGGAAAAUUUGUUGCAAUCUCUCUAUGUAGAAAGUAGAGCUGGAUUCUUCUUUACUAAAUUCUGUGAGGAUUCAGGAAACAAGUUGUGGAAGAACAGUGUGUACUUUUGGUUUGACCUACAAGCUUAUCAUCAGCUUUUCUACCAAGAAACACUUCAGCCUUUUAAAGUAUGCAAACAAGCACAAUAUCUUUUUGCCACAUAUGUUGCUCCAUCAGCCACUCUUGACAUUGGACUCCAACAGGAAAAGAAGAGGGAAAUUUAUAUGAAAAUACACCCACCAUUUGAAGAUCUUUUUGACACAGCAGAAGAAUAUAUCCUUCUCCUCCUCCUGGAGCCCUGGAUGAAGAUGGUAAAGUCAGACCAAGUUACUUACAGAAAGGUGGAACUGGUGGAAGAAAGUAGGCAACUAGACUCCACAUGCCUCAGAAAACUACAGGCUUUGUAUAAAGAAUCAUUUCCCAAGAAAGCUGGCGAUGCCACUGAUGAAAUUGGAACUGGUCUUUUAUCACUCCCUGAUAUCUCUAAACAAACAGAAUACUGGAAUAAUGUUCCUGAAGAAUACAAGCAUUUUAGUUUUAAUGAUCUGCUUAACAACAAACUGGAGUUUGAACAUUUCCGUCAGUUUCUUGGAGUACAUUCCUCAAGCAUGGACCUUAUGUGCUGGAUAGACAUCGAGCAAUUCCGAAGAAUAAAUUACAAAGAUCAAAAUCAAAGGGAGGCAAAAUCUAUAUAUAUUAAAAAAAAAUACCUUAAUAAAAAAUAUUUCUUUGGACCCAACAGUCCAGCUUCUUUGUAUCAACAGAAUGAGAUAAUGGAGUUAGGUGGCGGUUGGGGAAAGAUUCUCCAUGAACAACUUGAUGCCCCUGUUUUGAUUGAAAUUCAGAAGCAUAUCCUAAACAGACUAGAAAAUGUGUGGUUGCCACUGUUUCUUGCAAGUGAAGAGUUUGCAGCCCGACAAAAGAUAAAGGUACAGAUGAAGGACAUAGCAGAUGAGCUUUUACUACAGAAGCAUGAAGGGAAAAUUGGGGUCUGGAAGCCUGUGGAGAGUAAGUGGAUAUCUUCAUCUUGUGAAAUUAUUGCUUUUCGAAAAGCAUUAUUGAAUCCCGUUACUGCAAGACAGUUUCAACAUUUUGUGACUCUAAAAGGAGAUUUAUUGGGAAAUGGAGUACUCUUUUGGCAAGAAGUGCAAAAAUAUAAGGAUUUGUGCCAUUCUCAUUGUGAUGAGUCUGUCAUCCAGAAGAAGAUCACAACUAUUAUCAACUGCUUCAUUAAUUCCUGUAUUCCUCCAGCCUUACAGAUUGACAUUCCAGUAGAACAGGCACAGAAGAUUAUUGAACAUAGGAAGGAGUUAGGACCGUAUAUAUUUAGAGAAGCACAGAUGACAAUUUUUGGGGUUCUGUUUAAAUUUUGGCCACAAUUUUGUGAAUUUAGGAAGAAUUUGACUGAUGAAAAAAUUAUGAGUGUUUUAGAGAGAAGACAAGAAUACAAUAAGCAAAAAAAGAAAUUGUCAGUCAUAGAUGAUGAAAAACUUGUAAAGAUUGGAACCAAACAAUAUGCAAGUACUACGGGGUCUACUCUCAAAACGCCUGUCAGUGAAUCCUUGCUAGGCCUCCAAGCAUAUGGCCGACAGCCAACCUGGUGCUACUCAAAGUAUAUAGAAGCCUUAGAACAGGAAAGAAUUCUUCUUAAAAUCCAAGAGGACCUAGAAAGAAAGUUGCUUAUAGGCACACCAUCUUUUACACAUAAUUUUAAGUCUUCUGGAUCAGUUAUGUCUUUGAGGAAAAAUUUGUCUACCCUGACCAUCCAGAAGUGGUGACAGACUUACGUCUGUGUUUAUGUCCUGCUACCAAUAGGUGCAAGAGUCUCACUAUGUAGUUUAGGCUGGCCUUGAACUCCCUGUGUAGCCCACGCCUGGAACUCCCAGCCAUCUUCCUGCCUCAGCCUCCCCAAAGCUGGCAUUAAAGGAAUUCUUUAAGUAUAAUUUAACCAACAAGAGAAGCUAAGUACCUGAUUUUGAUGAUCUGCAUUAGAGCAAGCCCAACAUCUAAAUAAAGUUUAGCUUGUUUUGCUCCUA